AAAGAAGGCAAAAGUUGGUGAAGCUUCAGCACAGUUCAGCUGAUGAAAGCCACCAGUUGUUGCUCUCAGCAAGGGACCUGAUUCCAGCCGUCAUGCUUGGGCUGAGACAGCUUAAUGGUGAUACUGAGGAGCUCUGGGGGAGAGGCCGCAUGGAGCAGCUGCUCUCCAAGCUGGGUGCUCACCUCCCCAUCCAUCGCAGCUGCUUCUUUUGGAGAGAGCCACCACAGAUCAGGCACAUGAUGAAAUCUCUGGAGGGGCUGGAGCUACCCACAGCCUGGUGAUGGGGAGCUGAGAUGGAGCAGCUGCCAGGGACCCACAGCUGUCACCCUGAAACCCUCAGCACCCCCUGGCUCUGCUGGAGAACUGUUUGGAAACCUCAGGGUGGGAACAAGCCGCAGUGGCAGGGGGCACUGUGUGUUAGUCGAGGUUCGCAUUGCUCCUCUAAUCCUUUGCUCAGGUAAGGAUGUGGUUUUAAAGGGAAUUGAGGAAAAAUCUCUUUCACAGGGCAGUAUUUCUUUAGCACCAACAGUAAUGGGG
rnacentral:lncRNA from 14 species